AAAGCUUACUUUGUGGUCAUCUGCUGCCCCCUCUUGGUGAGGACUGUGUAUCACUGUUGCAAGAAGUGAACCUAAAUAUCGUGAACCGACAGCCGUACUCGUCGUACUCGCUCAAGACGAGACGGUUUGGGCUUCGCGGGCGUGUUUUGAGUCUGUGGCUCAUCUGGUUCUCCUCCUUGAGGACGUGUGGACCCUGCUCCCCCCAGGCGCGGGGUUCUGCGGACCGUUGGUGCCGGUCCUGCCCGAAACCUUCAUCCUCGGACGCGGAGAAGCCCGGAUGUUCUAAAGGACGUGACGUCACAAUGGCUCGACGGGAACUGCGAGGUGGGAUCAGCAGGUUACAACAGAGACUGCAAGAGUCACAGAAAGACCAUUCUCAAAAAGUUCAGCACAGAUAACAGCACCCCCGCCAUCCUCCAAAAAAAUGCAAGCGUGGAAAGAAACAAAGCAUCGCUUACCGUACCCCGGACUCCCCCCCCCCCCCAAAAAAAAAACAUGAAUGGCAGGUUAUGGCUGUUGAUGUGUGCCAUGCAAUUAUCUGGCAACCGGUUCAGGGCGUUUGCCUCCUGCUGCCCGAAAGACGGACGGGAUCGGCUCCCUCGCGGGGUGCCUUUGAGGUAAAGAGAUGAAAACAUUGCUCAAGUUGCCCGUGAAUAGGCCGCGCCGCAGGAGUGGACGCAGGAAGCCGCUGACCUUCAUGACUGCGUGACGCCUACGCCGUCACAAAAGAAAUUAAAGUCAUAAGUCAAGGCCCCCCCAACCCCCCUGUAUUUUAUUUGUAUUCAUUUGGUGGAAUGGCUCACCGGAGUACGUUCCAAUAUGCAGUGGAGCCUUUUCAUCCCGUAAGAAGCCCCGUGAGUCAUAAAGCUUCCCGCGUAUUGAUUAGCUAAUGUGGAUUCCGGCUGCACCGUCAUGUCAACGUGCAUUGUGUUUCUUUGUACCGACUAAGCUCUUCCGACUGCUAAAUUCAAGUACAGUACAUCCUUUUUUUGUCACUGUUUUUAAAUGGUUUGUAUGC